rnacentral:rRNA from 1 species
UACGUAGGUGGCGAGCGUUGUCCGGAAUUACUGGGUGUAAAGGGCGUGUAGGCGGGAAUGCAAGUCAGAUGUGAAAUUCCGAGGCUCAACCUCGGCGCUGCAUCUGAAACUGCGUUUCUUGAGUGCUGGAGAGGAAAGCGGAAUUCCCAGUGUAGCGGUGAAAUGCGUAGAGAUUGGGAGGAACACCAGUGGCGAAGGCGGCUUUCUGGACAGUAACUGACGCUGAGGCGCGAAAGCGUGGGAGCAAACA